UACGUAGGGGGCUAGCGUUGUCCGGAUUCAUUGGGCGUAAAGGGCGCGUAGGCGGCGGGGUAAGUCUGGUGUGAAAUCUCGGAGCUCAACUCCGAAAUUGCACUGGAUACUGCUCUGCUAGAGGGCUGGAGAGGAGAUCGGAAUUCACGGUGUAGCAGUGAAAUGCGUAGAUAUCGUGAGGAAGACCAGUGGCGAAGGCGGAUCUCUGGACAGCUCCUGACGCUGAGGCGCGAAGGCUAGGGGAGCAAACGGG
rnacentral:rRNA from 1 species